ACCUGGGUGGCUCAAUCGGUUGACCAUCUGACUUCGGCUCAGGUCAUGAUCUUGCAGUUCGUGGGUUCAAGCCCCACACCAGGCU
rnacentral:tRNA from 1 species